AGAAACUCUGCCUCAAUAAACAAACAAACAAACAAAUAAAUAAAUUCAACAACAAAAAGCAAAACAAAACCAAACAAAUGAAAGGGGGGGGGGGGGAGAUGGCUGGUUAUUCAUCUGUGGCUAGAGAGAAGUAGACUUUUUAAUUUAUUUUGCAAUCAGACAACAUUUGAGGCUUGCCCUCCCUUAUUUAUCUAUUUAUUUUUACAGACAAUUCUGGUGCAGGAGAGCUUCUCUUCUCAGAUGAAAUCUGGGGCACAACUAACUGCGUAGUUAAAGGAUGGACUGACCUCCUUACCGAUCGGUCUGGGUCAGGCAGACACUCACCUGGGGCAGCUUCACGCAUGGAAAUAAUGAAGCACAGAAGGGCCUGUUCAACUCCACUGUUGGAUGUCACAGAACUAUCUAAGAGGUCCCUGGGGAUGAAAAGCAAGCACUCAGUUGCUGAUGAGGAGAGCGUGUGGAGGGGACACCAGAGCAUCUCUAAAACACGUCGAAGAUGGAAGGAAAAUAAGAACCUUGAAGAUCCUUUUAGGAUUUCCCCAGUGAACACAGAUAUACAUCUGAUAAUUUUGAUUUUUGUCUACUGACUGCAGA
rnacentral:lncRNA from 1 species